rnacentral:rRNA from 1 species
ACCCGCACAAGCGGUGGAUGAUGUGGAUUAAUUCGAUGCAACGCGAAGAACCUUACCUACCCUUGACAUGUCCGGAACUUGCCAGAGAUGGCUUGGUGCCGAAAGGGAAUCGGAACACAGGUGCUGCAUGGCUGUCGUCAGCUCGUGUCGUGAGAUGUUGGGUUAAGUCCCGCAACGAGCGCAACCCUUAUCAUUAGUUGCUACGCAAGGGCACUCUAAUGAGACUGCCGGUGACAGACCGGAGGAAGGUGGGGAUGACGUCAAGUCCUCAUGGCCCUUAUGGGUAGGGCUUCACACGUCAUACAAUGGUCGGUACAGAGGGUUGCCAAGCCGCGAGGCGGAGCCAAUCCCACAAAGCCGAUCGUAGUCCGGAUUGUUCUCUGCAACUCGAGAGCAUGAAGUCGGAAUCGCUAGUAAUCGCAGGUCAGCAUACUGCGGUGAAUACGUUCCCGGGUCUU